CGCAAGCGCCCGGCUUCCAAGGCUCCACUCUGCCUGCCUGCCACUACUGUUGCGCCCGUGAAGAAGGUCUCUCGUCCCGUCGCUUCCAAGGCUCGCUCUUUCGUCGGCUCAACACCAUUGCCUGUCACUGCUGCUGUGCCCGGUGUGAAGAAGACGGCUCCAGCUUCAACUCUGCGCGCAAGAAGGGGGAUGGGGGAGCUCAGCUGCAAGGUUCCGAAGCAAAACCAAUCGCCAUUGCCUGUCAUUGCUGUUGCAGCACCAAGGAAGCAACCAAUUCCUUGGCUGCGUCCAGUGGUAUUACGCCUUCCCUAGUCUUUUAGUUGCUUCCUAAACCAUGCACACAUAAGUUUCAUUUAAUCUUUGUCCCUCUAGGUUCUGCACUUGCUUACCAAGAUUUCUAGUGUUCUUUGAAUCCCGUUCAGUCAUUAGUAAUUUUACUAGAGUGUCAGCAGAGUCUCCAUCUAGUCUAGGCAGCAAAAACCUUGUUAAGAUGUGUACGACAUAGUUACCACUGCAUCCACACCUGGUCCUAAGUUAAGGGUUUAAGUGAAUAAAGGGCAUUUUCAAUAAAUCAAAGUAAAGCAGAUGAGCCUAAAAAGGAAACUCAUGUACUGCAAUUCCCGCACGAGACAGAGCAUAAAACGCACUCGCCGCAAAAUGCAAAAUGCCCGUUUGCUACCCGGCUUGUAGCAGGAAAAAGGAGUAGAAUUGAACUUGUCGAUACACACAGUAAUCAUGUGAGCUGCCUAGCGUUUGGAGACUAUGCUGACUCUCCUGUAAAAUUAAUCUUGGCUGAAUUGGAUUCUUAGGCACUGGCGUCGUGGUGAGUUAAAGUUGCAGUUUCUGAUGAGUAGCAUUGGUUGGUGAACUCUUGUGUGUAUGUGUGAGUGAAGCUUUAAGCUAAGCAAGUCCUUGAUGUACCGACUAUCGAGUCAUAUUGUAAUCAAUAUCAGAUAUGAAUGAAAUAUUGUUGGCCUGAAUUUGAGCAGAGCAUUUGAGUAACUCUAUUUAUUUUUAUGUUUCUAUGCGUCUUAAAACACGCCGUUGCUCUUGUCAGAAAAGUAUGUACACGAGGUACGAUCCGAUGGAUGCACCUAUGAUUUCACAAUACUUUGUUGAGUUGUGAAGUGCAUGGACAUGUUUGGGGGAGUUUGAAGACAGACUUUAUGGUUACAGAUACUGCAAUCUGAUUGUCAAAUAGGUUGCAGCUGUUUGGCAAAUAGGUUGGGCUUUUCUAAUGUGAAAAAGGAUUCGGCGCAACAGCAGUCUUACCUUCUCUAGCUCCUUGAGAAAUUUUCCUGUUCAUUUGAACAUUACAAAUUCCACUGUCUAUCCUAACAUCUUCCCCAAGCAACCAAAUAUUGCGCUUGUACCAUUGGGCAUUGCUUGGAAUCGAUUUAAUUUGUUACUUUUAAAGGAGCGACAACAUGCUCAGAAGAACCUGAUGAUAUUUAAAACUUUGCUAUCACCUAUCAGGUGAUUCAUAUUCUUGCAGUGCAUGAAAACUGAAUUUUAUAGGCAUAUUAAGACAAUAUGGUUACUACGCCCAUGGGAGACAGCAAAUUAUAAUUUUGUUGGAACUUUUGCGUGCUUGAAUGCCAAAUCAUUCUAGAAGACAUAAUUUCCUUUUUAAAUAUAUUUUUCUCUUCAAGCAAGAAUGCUGCCAAAAUCUGUGCAUCGUGAACAAUUUCUCUGAAUCCAUAUGCAAAUGUGGCACAGAGCAUGCUGCUUUCAGUUUGCUCUGUUAGCACAUUUACCCAUGUUAAGUUGGUUUUUACAAAACAAUUAUAAUGAUGUAUGCUUUUUCCCACGAGAAACUGAACGAGUACUGCAUAUUCAUCAUUAAACUGAAACUAAAUGAUAAGUAUGUCAGUACAGAGGUAAUGUUGCAUUGUUGGUCAAUUCUUUGCUACUGUUCUUCAUCAUGCAUGCAUGGGGAACGUAUAUGUGGAAGCUUCUCCUGUGGAUCAUGUUUUUUUUUCUCGGGCGGAAAGUACUAGUUUCUUGCUGCAUUUUUUCCGUUGGGUGUUCAGUGACGAAAAAAUGCCUUUUUCUGCAGUUCUGCUGCAUUUUUCUGAUUUGAAUGAUGAAACAAUUUCCAAGAUCUUACUGAACUUCUUUAAGUAUACAAACAUAUUUUGAACUUAUUUACGUAUACAAACAUAUUCUGAACUUAUUUACUUCUACAUUUUCCAAGAUCUUUGUGAACUUCUUUCUGGACCAUUCUGAAGUCAGUUGUUUUUCUUAUGUGUUUUUCCUUCAGAACGUUUUUAUUUUGGUGUUCAUUCCUAACCUCAUCGAACUAGCUAAGUUGCUUGAUUAGACUGAUGAAUAAUGAAUAUACAAAAUCAAUCAACCAUUCUGAGUUGGAACAUGCCAACAACCAUGUCCAUUAAAUGAGCAAAAUAAAUGAAUAAAAUCACUUUCGCCCAGAAAGAUUUUGAGUGAAAGCACAUGGAGCUGGACGUAAUAUAAUCGUAUAUCCAAGAUGUCAUUUUAACAAAAAAAUGGUGGAUUUCCUAAUCCUAAAAUAUGUUAUUUAACACCAUAUUUUCGUAUCAUUAUCAUGAAUACAAGAUACUAUCACCUAGCAAAUACAUUUCCUCCCGAGCAUGACGUGUCAAAAAAAUGUUGCACCUUUUUGUCACUGUUCAUUGCUGAAUUUUUUAUUGUUCAUACCUCCCAAAUGAUUUUGAGCUUGAAUUUGUACAUGUUUCCACUGUAACAGGGUUUCCAUCUAAUAUUUUCUACUGUUGCGAGUGUUUUUUUGGAGAAGAUGUGAGCUUUUGUUUUCGAAAAAAUAUUGCGAGCUUUUUAUUAGGAGAGUUCUUUCUCAGAGGGGAUGAGAGCCCAACAGCAAAUAGAAAUGCAGAGCCUAAAGGCUGUGCCCAGGAGACCUCCUGUUGGGCGAUAUCUGCGCCCGCAACGCACGCCCCUCGUGGGCCGGCCCAUAUACACGAGCUUUCUUUCGAUUCCCUGGAUCGCUCGUCCCCACGAUCGUUAGUUUUUUUUUUCACAUGACAGGAUCGCUGGUUAACUUGUAUAAAAACUAUGCUGGUUGACCUUUGACCACCAACAUGGAUCACUGCUCAGGUUGUUGACUCAUAAAUUCACGAGAAAAGUUCAUAAAAAAUAAUUCAUCGAUUUCAAAAAUGUUCAUCAUAUUUUGAAGAAAAGUUAACGAAUUUUGGAAACAUUUAUUGAUUUUGAUAAGGAGUGUUACAAAAUUUCAUUUAUUUGGAAAAUAGUUCAUCGAUUUUGAAAUAAUUUCACCAAUGUUGAAAAAAGUUUAUCGGAUUUGAAAAAAGUUCAUUGAAUUUUUUAAAAAAUCAUCGAGUUCAAUAAAAGUUCAUCCAUUUUUAAGGAAAAAGUCACGAAUUUGAAAAAAGUCCAUCGAACCCGGGAAGAAGAAAAAGACAAAAGAAAAACGAAGACAAAAGAAAAAAAAAGACGUGCAAAGAUAAAAGUUAGCACGUCUAGUUGGGGAUGGUGGGGUGAUUACUGCAGCUAACAAUUAAGCAAGACGUCCCCGGUUCGAGUCGCAGCGCAAUCACUCAUUUUUUGCAUUUGGAAAAAACAAAGAGAAAAAGCUAGAUGGGCCGGCCUAGUGGAGAGGGGGCUAUGCACCCCUUUGCGAAUUGUACUGUAGCGGGUGCAGAGGGCGCCGGAUAGGAUUUUGCAACCCAGGUACAACCGCGGAACCUCCCGGCAAGCGGCCCAUCACGAGAAAAUGGAGGGAAAAACUCCAGAAGCGAGGGAAAACCCUCUUCCCGUUCCCCAAAUGCGCGCACAGAAAAGAUGAGAAUGUGUGCUGAUCUCACAGGGUACAACCCCCACCGCGAGGAAGCGGAAGACCCCGACGACGGAGAAGGCGAAGGCUGCCAGGAAGCCUCGCAAGCCGCAGGUAUGUAGUUCACUCUACCCAUCAUGCCAUUUGAUAAUUUAGUUAGUCUGAAUUUGUCCCAAGUACUUGCUCAAUUGUUUGAUUUGUCUGAACCUGUUGCAUCUAUGUUGUCGCAUUGUUUGGUGGUGUUAGGUUGAAGUUGAAAAACCGAUCAAGAUGCCUGUUUACUAAAUUAAAGACACUAAUUUUAAAAUUAUACCAAAUCAAAAACACUUAUUUUGGGAACGGGCGCAAUUUAAGAUUACUUCUUGUAAUACCACCGAAUUCCCCUAAAGCAAAAUUGGCAAUGCAUUUUCUUUCUGUCUUGCACAUCCUAUCUUAUACAGUAGAAAUUCAUCAACAGGUUCAGAGGCGUCCAGGUUUUUAACUGAAGAAAUCCUAUUUGUGGACUGAGAAACUGAAGACGCUCCAUUUGUUCUUCAGUUAAAAACGAAUGAGCGCGUGAGAUUGCCGCAGCCGAGCUCGAGUUCGAUCCCAGUUCCAAUCCAGCCGGCGACAGUUCCAAUCCGAGUUCGACAAGAAUCAGGAGCUCUCCCCUGGAUAAAUGGGCACCAGCUCCAGUUCGAUCUGCUCGCCCACCUUCCCGAUCUCCAGACCUAGACACGCCAUCGAUGGCGGCGAAGAUGCUCCAGCUCCGCAGCGCCGACGGCAAGGUGCUCGUCGCUCCGGCGUGGGACUAUCGCCCGGCCGCCGCCCAAGCCCUCCCGCUGGAGACGCGGGUGCCCUCGCGCGUCCUUGAGAGGGUGCUCCAGUACUGGACCAAGCACAGCCUUGCCAAGGCCACCGGUGAGUCCCGGGAGUCCCUCGCCCGAUGGGACGCCAACUUCCAGCACCGUCUCGAGGAAGACGGCCUCGCCAAGGAGGCCGCCGCAGCCGCCCAAGAACUCCGCCGCUACGGCGUCGACCACGGAGGGCGUCCCCGUCGCCACGCCGCGACGGCCGGACCUGCUGGUGCCGCUCCUGCCACCGCCACCCGUGCUGAUCCCGUCCGUGCCUGGUGUGUCAACCACGGAGAACGCAGCCUUGCGCCGGCGAUGCCCGGCUCUUUCGAUGCCUCUGAUGUUGCCUCCGCCCCGCGCCCUGGGCCUGCCACCACCUUGCCGGCUGCUGCUGGUGCUGACCCCGUGGGUGUCCGGUGCGCGAUCCGUGCCCGUGGACGCCAGAUGGCUGAAGACGAGGAGUCCGCUUGCCACCACCGCAAGCGCCCGGCUUCCAAGGCUCCACUCCGCCUGCCUGCCACUGCUGUUGCGCCCGUGAAGAAGGUCUCUCAUCCCGUCGCUUCCAAGGCUCGCUCUUUCGUCGGCUCUACACCACUGCCUGUCACUGCUGUUGCGCCCGGUGUGAAGAAGGUGACUCCAGCUUCAACUCUGCGCGCUAGAAGGGGGAUGAGGGAGCUCAGCUGCAAGGUUCCGAAGCAAAACCAAUCGCCAUUGCCUGUCAUUGCUGUUGCAGCACCAAGGAAGCAACCAAUUCCUUGGCUGCCUCCAGUGGUAUUACGCCUUGCCUAGUCUUUUAGUUGCUUCCUAAACCAUGCACACAUAAGUUUCAUUUAAUCUUUGUCCCUCUAGGUUCUGCACUUGCUUACCAAGAUUUCUAGUGUUCUUUGAAUCCCGUUCAGUCAUUAAUAAUUUUACAAGAGUGUCAGCAGAGUCUCCAUCUAGCUAGGCAGCAAAAACCUUGUUAAGAUGUGUACGACAUAGUUACCACUGCAUCCAUACCUGGUCCUAAGUUAAGGGUUUAAGUAAAUAAAGGGCAUUUUCAAUAAAUCAAAGUGAAGCAGAUGAGCCAAAAAAAUUGGAAACUCAUGUACUGCAAUUCCGGCAUGAGACAGAGCGUAAAACGCACUCGCCGCAAAAUGCAAAACGCCCGUUUGCUACCCGGCUUGUAGCAGGAAAAAGGAGUAGAAUUGAACUUGUCGAUACACACAGUAAUCAUGUGAGCUGCCUAGCGUCUGGAGACUAUGCUGACUCUCCUGUAAAAUUAAUCUUGGCUGACUUGGAUUCUUAGACAUUGGCGUCUUGGUGAGUUAAAGUUGCAGUUUCCGACAAGUAGCAUUGGUUGGUGAACUCUUGUGUGUAUGUGUGGGUGAAGCUUUGAGCUAAGCAAGUCCUUGAUGUACCGACUAUCAAGUCAUACUGUAAUCAAUUUUGGAUAUGAAUGAGAAAAUUGUUGGCCUGAAUUUGUGCAGAGCAUUUGAGUAAUCUUUUUGUAUCGAUUUAUUCUUGUAUGCUUCUAUGGCUUCUUAAAAUAUUCCGGCAUUCUGGUUGGAAA
rnacentral:lncRNA from 1 species